AGCUUUGCAUAAUGCAGUGUUGUAGCCAAUGAAGUUUAUCUGAGGUGCCAUUAUUGCUAACUGAAAACUUUUUGCAAUAGCCCACAGUGACAGCUUGCAACAUAGUGUUGGCAAUUUUUAAGAGUCUCUAUGGAGA